GCCAAGGCAGUGUAGUGGUUUGAGCGUUAGAGUAGGGCUCUGGAGACCAGGGUUCGAAUCCCAGCUCGGCCA
rnacentral:tRNA from 1 species